GUAAUGAGCUUAUAUGUAAAGAUUUCUUUCUUUACUUGGAGAGCCAGCAAUUUGGACUGUUUGCUACUUCAACGCCUGCCCAAGUUUCUGAUGCACCUGCUGUAGGAGGAGCUGUCCAUGGUGUUCCUUCAAUUGAAAAGAUAACUUUCCACCUCUUGAGGUGCGUAUUCAUCAUUCUUUAUAUUCAUUUUUUUUUCCUGAUCUUCAACAUAACAAGACCAAUCAAUCAUACUCUGAUCAUUCUGGGUACCUGUUGAAAUAGACUGGAAGAUGGAGAGAUCUUGGACAAGAAGGUCUUCUGUAACGACUUUGUUAAUUUAACCCAUAAUACGGGUGUCUUCUUGUAUGAUGACCUAUUGGCAAUUGUAUCACUUCGCUAUCAAACUAUACAUGUUCUUCAGAUAAGAGAUGCUGGUAACCUUGUUGAUGUACGGGCUAUUGGGGAAUUCUGCCGUGAAGAUGACCAGCUUUUUCUCAAUUCCAAUGCUCAGGUCAGCAAGNUUUUUAUAAAUAUUUCAUUAACAUAAUAUUAAAAAUAUUAAUUUUGUAGAGAUAACUUUUCUGACAUGAAAAAUUCGUUUCUUCGUUUCCAGGGUGAACCUUUACGGUUUGUGGACACGCUUUAAUGUACAGAAGCAGCAAUAUUGUGGCUAGGAUUUUUAAUCGUCAGAUUUGCACUCCUCCUCCUGGCACUAGUGUAAUUUAUUUUCACUACCAAUAAUAUUUGUUGUUGUUUUUUCUGAGAAUUAUUACAUGUGUUGUCUUCUUUAGCCACUUUUUAGGGUUUAGGGGGGGGGGGGGGAGUGUUAAGAAGAAAUGGUACAGGGUUGUAAGUUGUAAUUGUAGGAAAUGUGAACAUUCCCCGGUGAACUAUCAAAAACAUGAUUGAGGGAAGAUAAACAAGGUUUUGCUUUGUCUACACUUUUUGUAUUUAGAGAGGUUGGACAGUUUCUUUGAUUCUGGUUGUAUUAUGCAGUGUCAAGUAUAACCUGAUGUUUUUAAAGUUGAAGCUUGAAAUGCAAAAGAUAAAUAUGAUGUGCCAAUUUGGAAGAUUUGCUUUCACUUUUUGAAAUUUGUUGUCUUGUUCCUCUGUUGAAGGAACCUGAAUCGAAUUUAAUUUUUGCAGGUGUAAUUUAAUUCUUGCAGGUUCAUCAUGCUCGGUGUUUCUAUGAAAAUUUGGUGCCAAGUUACACUAUUUAUGAGGUUGAGUGCCCAGACCACUUGUUUCGUAAAUUCACUGAUGAUGGACAGUACCUUAUAAGUUUCAGCAGAAAUUAUCAGGAGCUGAUCGUUUAUAGGCCCAGAUGGCUUUCGUUUUCAUGCAAAGAUGAAGAUUGCGAUAAACAUGAUUUGCCAUCUAGAGCUAAAAGAUUUGACAGUUUUUUCACCCAACUAUAUUGUGUACCACUUGCUUCUUGUAAUGAGCUUAUAUGUAAAGAUUUCUUUCUUUACUUGGAGAGCCAGCAAUUUGGACUGUUUGCUACUUCAACGCCUGCCCAAGUUUCUGAUGCACCUGCUGUAGGAGGAGCUGUCCAUGGUGUUCCUUCAAUUGAAAAGAUAACUUUCCACCUCUUGAGGUGCGUAUUCAUCAUUCUUUAUAUUCAUUUUUUUUUCCUGAUCUUCAACAUAACAAGAC
rnacentral:lncRNA from 1 species